GACGAACGCUGGCGGCGUGCCUAACACAUGCAAGUCGAACGGGGGUAUUUAUUUCAAUGAAUACCUUAGUGGCGAACGAGUGUGUAACGCGUGAGCAACCUAUCCUUAAGAGGGGGAUAACAUCUGGAAACAGAUGCUAAUACCGCAUAAGACCACACUGCCGCAUGGCAGAGGGGUCAAAGGAGCAAUCCGUUUAAGGAGGGGCUCGCGUCCCAUUAGAUAGUUGGUGAGGUAACAGCUCACCAAGUCAGCGAUGGGUAGCCGAGCUGAGAGGCUGAUCGGCCACACUGGAACUGAGACACGGUCCAGACUCCUACGGGAGGCAGCAGUGGGGAAUAUUGGGCAAUGGGGGGAACCCUGACCCAGCAACGCCGCGUGAGGGAAGAAGGCCUUCGGGUUGUAAACCUCUGUCAUUAGGGAAGAAGAAAGUGACGGUACCUAAUGAGGAAGCCCCGGCUAACUACGUGCCAGCAGCCGCAGUAACAC
rnacentral:rRNA from 1 species